CAGUAUAACGUGGUUUUGAUAUAAUAAAGGUCCAUGAAGUGUUAAUGGCAUUUUACAGAUAUGGAAACUGAGGGAAGCAGGGCAGGGGCUUCACUUCAGACAUGUGGAGGUAGAGCCAGGGCCUAAAUCCUUCCAAAGGUCUGUUUCAUUAAGCAAUCGAUAUUUCCUGGCUCCCAGGCAGAACUGCAGUAUCUUUCCCUUUAGAAAAGCUGGUCUGUUUUUCUCCCCAGGUUUGCAGAAAAAAAACACAAGGGUCAGAGUACAUAUGAAAAAUAUUAGAGUGCCCUUAUUCCACUUCCACACCCUAUGAGAGUUUGAAUCUCACAGUAUUGAAAAUAACAAGUCGACACUGAGACAGUCAGGGGGCAUGUAAGAAUGAGGCUGGAGGAGGAGAAGGGGAACAGAUUUAAGCUUCUGAGAUGCAUUUCGGUGUCUGUGGACUAGGAUGGCGGGUGGGGAGGAGGCACCGAUCCCAGCGGCAUAAUGACAAGAACAACUUAAACUGGAUCCUUAUUUACUGCACCAGAAAUCUUCAGGUCUCUAUGCUUUUUAACACAUGCACAUCCAGCAAAAGCAGAGGAGAACCUGGCUCUGUUUCAAAGACUCUCACAGGCGUAGAAAGCGGCUCGCGAAAAUUCAGCUAUGGCGCCAUCUGCUGGACGCACCGCGACGCUGCAAGUCCCUGCCGGAGUAGUAGAGGUCGCGUUGGCUGCAGGUGAUGGCCCGGUUUUUUGCCCAGGAAAGUCUCUGGCACCAAGGACCGCACGCUCUGGGGCUUCCUCCUGUCACACUGAUGUUCCUUCUCCGGGUCCUCCGUUGCUUCUGUCUCCUCUCCCAGAGUGCAGUCCUUGGACCUCCUCUCACCUAUUUCUACACUAACUCCCUUUGUGAUGCCACCCAAUGCCAAGACUUUAAGAUGGCAUGUAGAUGUAUCUCUCUCCCCAGCUCUCUCUCCCGUGAGAUGCAGACUCCCCCUAUCCAGCUAUGUGGGCAUCUCCACCUCCACAUGGACAUCAACAUCUCGGCUUCACACGACCAAAACCAACCUGAUAUCCUUCCCCUCCAAUCCCGUCCCAUAGUCAGCCCUUUGCAUCUGUUGAUGGCAAAUCCAUGUCUGUUAUUCAGGCUAAAAUGUAAUCCUUGGCUUCUCUUUCCUUCACACGUGACAUUUAAGAAAUCAUUCUGACCCUACCUUCAGAGUAUGGCCAACUCUAACCACUUCCCCUGCCACCACUCUGAUCUGGGUCUUCAUCAUCUGCCAAAAGAACUGCUGCAGUGAGUUAUCUCACUGUGUCUUCCGGCUUCUACCUGUGCCCUACCGUAAUUUAUUCUCAACACAACCACAGUGAUCUUUAAAAAAAAGAUUAUCAGUUCAUGCCACUUCUAUGUUUUGAACCCCACACUAUCUAUGUCAGAAUAAAAGCCACAGGACUGGCAAUGGCUUACUUACAAGAAGAUGCAAGGUCCAGCUCCCAUUUCCUCUGCAUCCUCUUCUUCUCCCAGGAAGCCACUCAGUUAACCUCUCAUGACCUUCAGGUCUUUGUCAAAUCUCACUUUUCAUGAUGGCUGAUCCUAACCAUACUGUUUACCCCCACUCCUCCCUCCCAGCAUUCUCAUUCUACUGUACUUUGCUCUUUAUUUUUCUAUAGCACUCUUCACCUUCUAACAAAUUAUGUAAAUAUAAAUGUAAAUAUAAUUUAUUAUGUUUGCUGUUUUUCUUCCUUCCCCAUUCCCCUCCAGAACAUAUGCUCAUUGAGGCAGAGAUCUGUCAGUUUUGUUCACAUACACACUCCUGAGUAUCUAGAAACUGCUAAAUAUAUUUUUGGAAUGAAUAAAAAAUGAAAUGAAAAACUCUAAUUAAGACCGAAAUAUUUAGCAACAGAUUAAGAUGCCAAUUAUUCCAAAUGUCAAAAUAUCCUGCCACACGAUAGGUGCUCAGUAAGCAUUUGGUGAACUAUGUCCUGUAAUUUGAAAAGUAAUCUCUGCACUUAUUGCCACUGU